UAUCCUUGGAGUGGCGCACGGGUGCGUAACACGUAUGCAAUCUGCCCCUAACAGGGGAAUAGCCCGGCGAAAGUCGGAUUAAUACCCCAUAACAAUGCGAACCGGCAUCGGUUUGUUUUUAAAGCUCCGGCGGUUAGGGAUGAGCAUGCGCGACAUUAGCUAGAUGGCGGGGUAACGGCCCACCAUGGCUACGAUGUCUAGGGGGUCUGAGAGGAUUUUCCCCCACACUGGUACUGAGACACGGACCAGACUCCUACGGGAGGCAGCAGUAGGGAAUAUUGGGCAAUGGACGCAAGUCUGACCCAGCCAUGCCGCGUGAAGGAUGAAGGCCCUAUGGGUUGUAAACUUCUUUUGUACGGGAAGAAACCCCUCUACGUGUAGGGGGCUGACGGUACCGUAAGAAUAAGGAUCGGCUAACUCCGUGCCAGCAGCCGCGGUAAUACGGAGGAUCCAAGCGUUGUCCGGAUUUAUUGGGUUUAAAGGGUGCGUAGGCGGAUUAUUAAGUCAGAGGUGAAAGUUUGCAGCUUAACUGUAAAAUUGCCUUUGAAACUGGUAGUCUUGAGUAUAGUUGAGGUGGGCGGAAUGUGUCAUGUAGCGGUGAAAUGCUUAGAUAUGAUACAGAACACCGAUUGCGAAGGCAGCUCACUAAACUGUAACUGACGCUGAGGCACGAAAGCGUGGGGAGCAAACAGGAUUAGAUACCCUGGUAGUCCACGCCCUAAACGUUGAAUACUCGUUGUUGGCGAUAUACAGUCAGCGACUAAGCGAAAGCAUUAAGUAUUCCACCUGGGGAGUACGACCGCAAGGU
rnacentral:rRNA from 1 species